GAAAGAUUAGCUGAGUUUUUCUGCUGACUUACCUGUUGCAUAGCAUCAUCCUCAGGCACUACCAAAAGUGUUUAGAGCACUCUGUUGAAAAUGGCAGUAUUUGGAGAAACUGGAUGUCACUUAAAAUAUGAUCCUUGGAUAAACAUCACAUGCUGCUGGCCUUCUUACAAAAUGA
rnacentral:lncRNA from 1 species